CAGGGACCCCUACUACAUAUACAGUAUAAAACUAGGUUGCAUCAUAAACUGGGCCUAAAGUAACAUGUAGGGCAGCCUAGAGCCUUCAUACAUACCUUUUUUGCAAAGAAUACAAAGCUAUUAAUAUA